UCCGGUUUGUCACCGGCAGUCUCCCUAGAGUGCCCUUGCGUAGCAACUAGGGACAAGGGUUGCGCUCGUUGCGGGACUUAACCCAACAUCUCACGACACGAGCUGACGACAGCCAUGCACCACCUGCACACAGGCCACAAGGGAACCGACAUCUCUACCAGCGUCUGGCGCAUGUCAAACCCAGGUAAGGUUCUUCGCGUUGCAUCGAAUUAAUCCGCAUGCUCCGCCGCUUGUGCGGGCCCCCGUCAAUUCCUUUGAGUUUCAGCCUUGCGGCCGUACUCCCCAGGCGGGGAACUUAAUGCGUUAGCUGCGGCACGGAAUCCGUGGAAUGGACCCCACACCUAGCGCCCAACGUUUACGGUGUGGACUAC
rnacentral:misc_RNA from 1 species